GACGAACGCUGGCGGCGUGCCUAAUACAUGCAAGUUGAGCGAUGAAGCUUGGUGCUUGCACCAAUUUGAAGAGCAGCGAACGGGUGAGUAACGCGUGGGGAAUCUGCCUUUGAGCGGGGGACAACAUUUGGAAACGAAUGCUAAUACCGCAUAACAACUUUAAACAUAAGUUUUAAGUUUGAAAGAUGCAAUUGCAUCACUCAAAGAUGAUCCCGCGUUGUAUUAGCUAGUUGGUGAGGUAAAGGCUCACCAAGGCGAUGAUACAUAGCCGACCUGAGAGGGUGAGCGGCCACAUUGGGACUGAGACACGGCCCAAAAUCCUACGGGAGGCAGCAGUAGGGAAUCUUCGGCAAUGGACGAAAGUCUGACCGAGCAACGCCGCGUGAGUGAAGAAGGUUUUCGGAUCGUAAAACUCUGUUGGUAGAGAAGAACGUUGGUGAGAGUGGAAAGCUCAUCAAGUGACGGUAACUACCCAGAAAGGGACGGCUAACUACGUG
rnacentral:rRNA from 1 species